GAUGAACGCUGGCGGCGUGCCUAAUACAUGCAAGUCGAGCGAACGGACGAGAAGCUUGCUUUUCUGAUGUUAGCGGCGGACGGGUGAGUAACACGUGGAUAACCUACCUAUAAGACUGGGAUAACUUCGGGAAACCGGAGCUAAUACCGGCAAAUCUUUUGAACCGCAUGGUUCAAAAGUGAAAGACGGUCUUGCUGUCACUUAUAGAUGGAUCCGCGCUGCAUUAGCUAGUUGGUAAGGUAACGGCUUACCAAGGCAACGAUGCAUAGCCGACCUGAGAGGGUGAUCGGCCACACUGGAACUGAGACACGGUCCAGACUCCUACGGGAGGCAGCAGUAGGGAAUCUUGCGCAAUGGGCGAAAGCCUGACGGAGCAACGCCGCGUGAGUGAUGAAGGUCUUCGGAUCGUAAAACUCUGUUAUUAGGGAAGAACAUAUGUGUAAGUAACUGUGCACAUCUUGACGGUACCUAAUCAGAAAGCCACGGCUAACUACGUG
rnacentral:rRNA from 1 species